AUCGAACGCUGGCGGCAUGCCUAACACAUGCAAGUCGAGCGGAGCGGCGUACGGGUGAGUAAUGCCUAGGAAUCUGCCUGGUAGUGGGGGAUAACUUCCGGAAACGGGCGCUAAUACCGCAUACUAUCAGAUGAGCCUAGGUCGGAUUAGCUAGUUGGUGGGGUAAAGGCUUACCAAGGCGACGAUCCGUAACUGGGCUGAGAGGCUGAUCAGUCACACUGGAACGGAGACACGGUCCAGACUCCUACGGGAGGCAGCAGUGGGGAAUAUUGGGCAAUGGGCGAAAGGCUGAUCCAGCCAUGCCGCGUGUGUGAAGAAGGUCUGCGGAUUGUAAAGCACUUUAAGUUGGGAGGCGGUACCAACAGAAUAAGCACCGGCUAACUUCGUGCCAGCAGCCGCGGUAAUUC
rnacentral:rRNA from 1 species